UACUAGGGGUGUCAACAAAACCCGGGCUGACCCGGCCCGGACCGCCUCGGCCCGACUCGGCCCUAAAAUUUGGGAUAUUUUGGGGUCGGGUCUCAAUUUGACCCUAAAACUUGUGGUACCAUUAGGGUUGGGGUAUAAUCAGGCCCACCCAUUGACACUCUGGGCCGACCCAUUGACUCUCCCUCUCUCAGUCUCUCUCCCAUUCUCUCUCCCCUCUUUGCGCGCAUAGCACUGCAGGAUGAAAAAACCCUAGGUCUGACGUCGUUGUCAUCGCCCUCUUCGUCGCCCUCGAUCUCCGAAUCGUCCUCAUCCUGGAACACCCAGCGGGACUCCGUCGAGUCCAUGGACCCCAUGCCGACCACCGCCUCUCCCCUGUCCGAUUCGCCGUCCUCCGCCAUACACUGAUCAGGAGGAGCUGCAGAGGACGAAUCUGGAGCUAGAGUCGUAUAAGGAGAAGAUAUAGGAGAACCAAGAGAAGAUUAAGCUCAACAAGCAACUCCCCUACCUGGUCGGCAACAUUGUGGAGAUUCUUGAGAUGAACCCUGAGGAUGAGGCUGACGAAGAUGGUGCCAAUAUUGAUCUGGACUCGCAAAGGAAGGGCAAGUGUGUCGUCCUGAAGACAUUGACACGGCAGGUAUGGCUUUUGGGAAGAACACAAAGCCUUGUUGGGUUCACUUGCGGCACCAGUAGUUUUAAUGGGGUCGAUGAUGAACCCUGAAUUACCCACCCAAGGUGACGCAUGAACAGCAACUCCAUGGACAUUGCUUUGUCACUUGGUUUAUGAUGUCUAUUGAUAUUGUAUCAUGGCCAAGCCUUGUCCAUUGUGGUUUGGAACUUCCUUCAUUUCAUGUAUAUUGUACUUUUGAACCUGUCCUUCAAAGAUAAGAGAAAAAAAAAAAGAAACUGAACUUUUGUACCUGAAGGAGUGCUAACAAUUAAAUUCAAUUUUUCAGUAAGUUGAUUGUCUAUCUUAGGAAGAAGAGCUGAUGAAAGGAAGAUUUUCAAGGAGACUUGGACAAAGGCUUUCUUUAGCGGAAUCGAUUUCUUUUCUUUUCCUUUCCUUUGGGGGUUGGGGGAUGAGGGAAAUGAGGAAUGCUGUUAUAUUGUAUGCUUGAUGCAGUUGGUAUCCCUUCCUAAAACUAGGAUUACGAAUAAUCAUUGAAAAAUUGACACAAUUUUUUUUUCA